rnacentral:rRNA from 1 species
AUUGAACGCUGGCGGCAUGCUUUACACGUGCAAGUCGAACGGUAACAGGCCGCAAGGUGCUGACGAGUGGCGAACGGGUGAGUAAUGCAUCGGAACGUGCCCAGUCGUGGGGGAUAACUACUCGAAAGAGUAGCUAAUACCGCAUACGAUCUAUGGAUGAAAGCGGGGGACCGUAAGGCCUCGCGCGAUUGGAGCGGCCGAUGUCAGAUUAGGUAGUUGGUGGGGUAAAGGCUCACCAAGCCAACGAUCUGUAGCUGGUCUGAGAGGACGACCAGCCACAGUGGAACUGAGAGACGGUCCAGACUACGAGGGGGGGCAGCAGUGGGGAAGAGUGGAAAAUGGGGGAAAGCCUGAUGCAGCAAUGCGGCGUGUGUGAAGAAGGUCUUCGGAUUGUAAAGGACUUUAAGUUGGGAGGAAAGGCAGUAAGUUAAUACCUUGCUGUUUGGACGUUACCAAAAGAAUAAGCACCGGCUAACGUCGGG